GCUGUGGCGGCCUGCUCUCCGCCGAAGGAAGGGACACGGGGCCUGCAGCUGCUCAGGAGCGAGCCCCGGGCUGUGGCGGCCUGCUCUCCGCCGAAGGAAGGGACACGGGGCCUGCAGCUGCUCAGGAGUGAGCCCCGGGCUGUGGCGGCCUGCUCUCCGCCGAAGGAAGGGACACGGGGCCUGCAGGUGUUUGGAAAUGCGGUACCGGGAUCCACCCAGCACACACGCCCCGUCUGCCCAGCCGGCGCCCUUGCGUGAAGAGCAGGGAGGUUUCUUGAGAAGAAAGAACAAAAGAAACAAGUGGCAAAUAAAAGUGAUCAGCCACACAACUGUCUGGAAACAUACUAAUUCAUCUUUCUAUUUUUGAAACCAGAUGACAGUCACCUGCUGUUAGGCCAGCUUUUAUACAGGUCAGCACAGAGAACAAGACUAUGGCUGCACCUUCUCAUCUCCUCCAGCCUCAGGGCAGAUCAAACCAUGCCUUGUUACCCACAUCACUCUGAGUAUUACUGCAAAAAGCUGCUGGAAUGCUGCUGCAGGCACAUCAGAGCUUACAAAUGAUGAACCGAGUCAAAGGCUGAAUGAAGGCAUCUUUGGAUUAAAAACAUCCACUUAGAAUAAAAAGUUAAAAUCAGUCUGUUGUAUUUUAUAGUUCUGCAA